rnacentral:sRNA from 1 species
AAAGAAAAAAGCAACGCAAAUAUCCUAUUUCCAGUAAUUCUUAGUGUUCGUCUCCUCGCUAAAAUCAUCCCUCUAUAGUUACUUGUAAGAUUAGUCAUGAUUCUACUAUUAUGUGCCACAUGUAUAAGAAUUUAUUAAGACCACAUGUUUUUGUUUUUAUUUAU